UUAUUAUUAUAUAUUAUUGUCUCGAAUAUCGAGCAAUCGGUUCAAUAUUAUAUUAUAUAGUAGGUGGGCGCCUACAUCCCUCACAUAAUAUGUAUUAUACGGAUGCUAAUUAUUAUUUAUAUUUAUUUUAUGUUGUGUGGUGUAUAUCAUUUUAAUACAGUCCACUUUUUAAGAUUGAAAACUCGCCGAAGUUGUUAAUUAUUAAUUAUUAUUAAUAACCUAUAUCUUUAGGCGAGUAAUUAUUACAACACGCGACUCAUCAAAUUUAAUAUACCUAACAGCUAACCGUACCUAUAUACAUAUAAAAAUAUUAUAAAAAUAUAUUAUUUAUGUUUGAAUUCAUUAGAACAAUGGCGUAUCAGACGUCGCUCCCAAACCGGUCGACAUCCAUCUGCAUAACUCAUUCCACAAGAAUGAGCGGUAUAGUUUGAAAAAUUACCAAAGUUAUCUAGUGGAUGACGAUACGUUUGGUGAGCAGCCGUCGCACAUCGGUCUGAUGUACCUAUGGAAAGUUAUUAUUGGAUCGGUCAUAAUAUUACGUUGAGAAGUUAUCUGUCCAUAAGCUUAUUUUCAGAUUUGUAGGCCAAUUCCGUUGCCAUUUUUUAAUCAUUCUUUGUUUUUAUUAAGGUUGAGGUGUAACAGCAUUUUAGGGGCUAUUGUAAUUCCCACUUCCAGGACUUUAUCAUACAUACAGACGACAGCCCGAUGACCUACAUUUUGGUGUAUUCUGGUCUACCCUAUGAUGGCCGCGAAGUAACGAUCACGUCACCGUUUAUCAGAUUUCCCAGUUUGAAAGAGUCUCCAACAAUUUCAUCGGAUAGGUACGCCAUAAACCGUGGCAUAGCGCUGGGCCAGCAUCAUUUUGUCCGGAUCAAUAUCUACAAAAAUGACGUCCCAAUUAUUAGAAGCUAAUAGUAUAGUGUCUUUGUCGAACAGUCAGCUGUACGAAGUUUCCGCUGUGCCACAAAACGGGUCGACGCCGGUCGCUGAACAUGGGAAGUCCUCAAGUCCACCCAGCAUCGUAUUGAUGAAUCAACAAUACAUCUUACAUCUUACAUCUAUCAUUGCAAUCUUAUAAUUAUUCACCUGAAUGCAUGUAAUCCUGAAUGUACAGUUACCCAUCUACAAAGUCAACACUGUAUUAAUAAAAGUAUUUAUUGUU